rnacentral:sRNA from 2 species
UUUUGGGUUAGGGAUUGCAGCGGCAUCCUUUUUUAUUUUUAUAAAAAAGAUAUAGCGGAAAGCCCGACCACGC